rnacentral:rRNA from 1 species
AUUGAACGCUGGCGGCAUGCCUUACACAUGCAAGUCGAACGGUAACAGGUUAAGCUGACGAGUGGCGAACGGGUGAGUAAUGUAUCGGAACGUGCCCAGUUGUGGGGGAUAACUGCUCGAAAGAGCAGCUAAUACCGCAUACGACCUGAGGGUGAAAGCGGGGGAUCGCAAGACCUCGCGCAAUUGGAGCGGCCGAUAUCAGAUUAGGUAGUUGGGGGGGUAAAGGCUCACCAAGCCGACGAUCUGUAGCUGGUCUGAGAGGACGACCAGCCACACUGGGACUGAGACACGGCCCAGACUCCUACGGGAGGCAGCAGUGGGGAAUUUUGGACAAUGGGCGCAAGCCUGAUCCAGCCAUGCCGCGUGCGGGAAGAAGGCCUUCGGGUUGUAAACCGCUUUUGUCAGGGAAGAAACGCUCUGGGUUAAUACCCUGGGGUAAUGACGGUACCUGAAGAAUAAGCACCGGCUAACUACGUGCCAGCCGCCGCCGUAA